UUUCCCCGGCCAGGUAUCGAACCGGAAUCCCCUGUGCGGAAAGGCAGAUUCUUAACCACUAGACCACCACGGAAGUCCCUCCUGAUUUUUUAGAUUGAGAAUAUAAGGCUAAGGAAAAUGGGUGGAUUGCCUCGGGUCUCCCAGUUUAAUAUGGUUUAACUGGAACUAGAACACAAGCCAAUGCAUGCACUUUGGUCCACGGGUGCAAGAAAGGAUAACCUCUAACCUUAACUGGCAAAACAAAGAGAAUCCUCAGGUUCUAGGAUGGUAACGGAGACAACUCAUCACUAGGAGGUGAACCACAGAUGGUGAAAAGGUUGCCCUGGACCAUCCUCUCCCACUGAUACAGCUCCUCUGAUGAUGAAUAACCCCAAGCUGAGAUAGCUGGUGAUGAUGAGAAUUCUCCGUCAGUACCAAUGGAACUGCUGUUCUGAUCUUCAGGGGAUCAUGCCCUCAUUAGCACCACAUUCUUACCAAAAGAGCUACCACUCUUACACCCCGUCGUCAAAUCUCUACGAAUUUUAUCUAUUUGCUGGCCCAAGGAAAGAUGCAGAAACUGCUUGAAAAGAUUACUAUAAAUAGCCUAAUCACUGUAUCAACAAACAUGCUGAAUAAAAACUCUCAAAAAAUAAUUGUCCAUUUGCUUAGUAAUUAGUUACACCCUAGCAUUCCUUCAAAGGGAAGCAUGCCACAUGCACGGUGAUUUGUAUCUCUGUUAGCCACAUAAGCUCUGGAACAACAGGAAAUACAGAGGUAAAGGAACAGAAGUCCACUAAAACUGCUGCUUUGAAGACAGGGAUAUUUAUGCCAAGCUUUGUUGUUCUGAGGUUACUGAGUGACUCCUCUUUCGUCACCACUGAAGCUCUUAAGAGCUCUGAGCAGAAACGUUCAACCUACCUGGAUAUAUUGGAUUCCCUGGUCUACAGAAUAUAUAAUUCUAACAUCCUUGCCACUGUGUACACACACACACGCAGACAUUGUUUACUUGUUGGUAAUCACCACAAUCAAAACUGUGAAAAACUCUCACUGUGUUCGGCCAACACAAUUUUGAAACUUAGUCCUUGAGACACAGAUGGA
ensembl:lncRNA